UACGUAGGGUUCGAGCGUUAAUCGGAAUUACUGGGCGUAAAGCGUGCGCAGGCGGUUUUUUAAGCCAGAUGUGAAAUCCCCGGGCUCAACCUGGGAAUGGCAUUUGGGACUGCAAGGCUCGAGUUUGGCAGAGGAGACUGGAAUUCCUGGUGUAGCAGUGAAAUGCGUAGAUAUCAGGAGGAAUACCGAUGGCGAAGGCAGGUCUCUGGGCUGACACUGACGCUCAUGCACGAAAGCGUGGGGAGCAAACAGG
rnacentral:rRNA from 1 species